UACGAAGGGUGCAAGCGUUACUCGGAAUUACUGGGCGUAAAGCGUGCGUAGGUGGUUUGUUAAGUCUGUUGUGAAAGCCCCGGGCUCAACCUGGGAAUGGCAAUGGAUACUGGCAAGCUAGAGUGCGGUAGAGGGUAGUGGAAUUCCCGGGUGUAGCGGUGAAAUGCGUAGAGAUCGGGAGGAACACCAGUGGCGAAGGCGGCUACCUGGACCAGCACUGACACUGAGGCACGAAAGCGUGGGGAGCAAACGGG
rnacentral:rRNA from 1 species